GCGUGGGAACGUGCCCAGAUCUAGGAAUAGCCACUGGAAACGGUGAGUAAUACCUUAUACGCCCUUCGGGGAAGGAUUAUCGGAUUGGGAUCGGCCCGCGUUAGAUUAGGUAGUUGGUGGGGUAAGUGGCCUACCAAGCCUACGAUCCAUAGCUGGUUUUAGUAGGAUGAUCAGCAACACUGGGACUGAGACGCGGCCCAGACUCCUAUGGGAGGCAGCAGUGGGGAAUCUUGGACAAUGGGGGCAACCCUGAUCCAGCCAUGCCGCGUGAGUGAUGAAGGCCUUAGGGUCGUAAAGCUC
rnacentral:rRNA from 1 species